CCUUAGAUGUUCUGGGCCGCACGCGCGCUACACUGACAGAGCCAACGAGUAUAAACCUUAAUUCGAGAGAUUUGGGUAAUCUUGUUAAACUCUGUCGUGCUGGGGAUAGGGCAUUGCAAUUAUUGCCCUUCAACGAGGAAUAUCUAGUAAGCGCAAGUCAUCAGCUUGCGUUGAUUACGUCCCUGCCCUUUGUACACACCGCCCGUCGCUACUACCGAUUGAAUGGCUCAGUGAGGCCCUCGGACUGGCUCCAGGAGGUCGGCAACGACCACCCAGAGCCGGAAAGUUGGUCAAACUUGGUCAUUUAGAGGAAGUAAAAGUCGUAACAAGGUUUCCGUAGGUGAACCUGCGGAAGGAUCAUUACCAAAACAAUAGCUGUCUGGCCGCAAGGCCCUGACGCUUCAACCCUUUGUGAACCAAAAAACCAUUCGCUUCGGCAGCAGCCAGGUCAGAAACGGCCCGGUUGUCAGCCUGCCGCUAGCACAACCCCUCAAAACUUGCAGUUGAACAAUGUCUGACAACCAAAUUUUCGAAUGAAAAUUAAAACUUUCAACAACGGAUCUCUUGGUUCCCGCAUCGAUGAAGAACGCAGCGAAACGCGAUAGUUAAUGUGAAUUGCAGAAUUCAGUGAAUCAUCGAGUCUUUGAACGCACAUUGCGCCCAUUGGUAUUCCAUUGGGCAUGUCUGUUUGAGCGUCAUUACAACCCUCGGUUCCAACCGGUUUUGAGCGUGCCCGGGUCCCCGACCCGGCCGGCUUUAAAGUUGUAAGCUCUGCUGCCCGCCCAGCCCGGCCAGAACAUAGUAAAAACUACUUGUUCCCGGUCAGGAUUGAAGCGGUGCGGCCUGAACAAUACCUACCAAACUCUUAGGUUUGACCUCAGAUCAGACAAGGAUACCCGCUGAACUUAAGCAUAUCAAUAAGCGGAGGAAAAGAAACCAACAGGGAUUGCCUCAGUAACGGCGAGUGAAGCGGCAAGAGCUCAAAUUUGAAAUCUGGAGCCUUCGGCUUCCGAGUUGUAAUUUGAAGAGGAUGUUUCGGUCGCGGCCUGGGCCUAAGUUCCUUGGAACAGGACGUCAUGGAGGGUGAGAAUCCCGUACAUGGCUGCAGGCUUGCUUCUAUGUGAAACUCCUUCGACGAGUCGAGUUGUUUGGGAAUGCAGCUCAAAAUGGGUGGUAAAUUUCAUCUAAAGCUAAAUAUUGGCGGGAGACCGAUAGCGCACAAGUAGAGUGAUCGAAAGAUGAAAAGCACUUUGAAAAGAGAGUUAAACAGUACGUGAAAUUGUUGAAAGGGAAGCGCUUGCGAUCAGACUCGCUUUCGGUUGAUCAACGUUCCUUCUGGUUCGUGCACUCUGCCGUUUGCGGGCCAGCAUCGGUUGGGGCGGCGGGACAAAGGCUUCGGGAAUGUGGCUCUCUUCGGGGAGUGUUAUAGCCCGUCGCGUCAUGCCGCCAGCUCCGACCGAGGUCCGCGGCUCUGCCUAGGAUGCUGGCUUAAUGGUCGUAAGCGAC
rnacentral:rRNA from 1 species